CCUACGGGCGGCUGCAGUGGGGAAUAUUGCACAAUGGGCGCAAGCCUGAUGCAGCCAUGCCGCGUGUGUGAAGAAGGCCUUCGGGUUGUAAAGCACUUUCAGCGGGGAGGAAGGCGGUGAGGUUAAUAACCUCAUCGAUUGACGUUACCCGCAGAAGAAGCACCGGCUAACUCCGUGCCAGCAGCCGCAGUAAUACGGAGGGUGCAAGCGUUAAUCGGAAUUACUGGGCGUAAAGCGCACGCAGGCGGUCUGUCAAGUCGGAUGUGAAAUCCCCGGGCUCAUCCUGGGAACUGCAUUCGAAACUGGCAGGCUAGAGUCUUGUAGAGGGGGGUAGAAUUCCAGGUGUAGCGGUGAAAUGCGUAGAGAUCUGGAGGAAUACCGGUGGCGAAGGCGGCCCCCUGGACAAAGACUGACGCUCAGGUGCGAAAGCGUGGGGAGCAAACAGGAUUAGAUACCCGAGUAGUC
rnacentral:rRNA from 1 species